GAUGAACGCUGGCGGCGUGCUUAACACAUGCAAGUCGAACGAAGCACUUUAUUUGAUUUCCUUCGGGACUGAUUAUUUUGUGACUGAGUGGCGGACGGGUGAGUAACGCGUGGGUAACCUGCCUUGUACAGGGGGAUAACAGUUGGAAACGGCUGCUAAUACCGCAUAAGCGCACAGCAUCGCAUGAUGCAGUGUGAAAAACUCCGGUGGUAUAAGAUGGACCCGCGUUGGAUUAGCUAGUUGGUGAGGUAACGGCCCACCAAGGCGACGAUCCAUAGCCGACCUGAGAGGGUGACCGGCCACAUUGGGACUGAGACACGGCCCAAACUCCUACGGGAGGCAGUAGUGGGGAAUAUUGCACAAUGGGCGAAAGCCUGAUGCAGCGACGCCGCGUGAGCGAAGAAGUAUUUCGGUAUGUAAAGCUCUAUCAGCAGGGAAGAUAAUGACGGUACCUGACUAAGAAGCACCGGCUAAAUACGUG
rnacentral:rRNA from 1 species